rnacentral:rRNA from 1 species
UGGGGAAUUUUGGACAAUGGGCGAAAGCCUGAUCCAGCAAUGCCGCGUGUGUGAAGAAGGCCUUCGGGUUGUAAAGCACUUUUGUCCGGAAAGAAAUCCUUGGCUCUAAUACAGUCGGGGGAUGACGGUACCGGAAGAAUAAGCACCAGCUAACUACGUGCCAGCAGCCGCGGUAAUACGUAGGGUGCAAGCGUUAAUCGGAAUUACUGGGCGUAAAGCGUGCGCAGGCGGUUUGCUAAGACCGAUGUGAAAUCCCCGGGCUCAACCUGGGAACUGCAUUGGUGACUGGCAGGCUAGAGUAUGGCAGAGGGGGGUAGAAUUCCACGUGUAGCAGUGAAAUGCGUAGAGAUGUGGAGGAAUACCGAUGGCGAAGGCAGCCCCCUGGGCCAAUACUGACGCUCAUGCACGAAAGCGUGGGGAGCAAACAGGAUUAGAUACCCUGGUAGUCCACGCCCUAAACGAUGUCAACUAGUUGUUGGGGAUUCAUUUCCUUAGUAACGUAGCUAACGCGUGAAGUUGACCGCCUGGGGAGUACGGUCGCAAGAUUAAAA